GAGGCUUUCAGGUGAAAUGGUGUUUAACCAUGUUUCUGGCUACAGCCUUCAUCAAAAGAAUUUCUAUCAGCAGGGGGAGCGGAGCUUAACAUUAAGAUGAAGGUGCAUUUGCAAAGUCGUUUCUUUCAUUAAUUCCAUUUUACAGAUGAGGAAAUUGAGGGCAGGUAAUUUGCCCAAGGUACCAGUGCAAGUACACGCUGGGCCACUAUUUGAACCAGGGCCGUCCAGCUCCCCGUGUCACCAAGAUUCAGAGGAAAACUGGCCCACUUUGAGCUGCCAGACACAGAAACCUCCCUGAAGAUAUGGCUCUUGCUCUAUGGAAAAUAUGUCAGGCUGACUCAGUGUCUCUAGCGCAAGUGAAAACGAGCUGGUUAGAACAGACCGGUUUGAAGCAAGUGCACAAUUCUUCACCUUCAGGUGAGCUAGCAGCUGAAUUUCCCCACCAGCUGGGCCUUAAAGGGCAAACAAGGCUCAGGGCAGAAGGCAUCACGAAGCGAUCUUGGACAACGUGCGUUCUUCAUCACAUCUGCAAAAUGCCACUAGCACCUCUGACCAAACAUUAAUACCGCACGGCUUUGACAUCUUGUGAUAUAGCUGGAGUUUGAGGAAUGGGGCUAAGGGUUGAUUGGGGUCCCCCAAAAUAAAUCUUUUCUACUGCCAUGAAGCAGUUACAGUUGCA